rnacentral:rRNA from 1 species
AGAGUUUGAUCAUGGCUCAGGAUAAACGCUGGCGGCGUGCAUGAGACAUGCAAGUCGAACGGACGAUCAGGGCUUGCUCUGAUUGUUAGUGGCGGACGGCUGAGUAACGCGCAGGUGACCUGCCCCGAAGUGGGGAAUAACUGCCCGAAAGGGUGGCUAAUACCGCAUGUGGUGGUUUGUUCAAUCGACCCACCAAAGCCGUAAGGCGCUUCGGGAGGGGCCUGCGUCCGAUUAGCUCGUUGGUGGGGUAACGGCUCACCAAGGCGACGAUCGGUAGGUGGUCUGAGAGGACGAUCACCCAGACUGGGACUGAGACACGGCCCAGACUCCUACGGGAGGCAGCAGUCGGGAAUUUUGCGCAAUGGACGAAAGUCUGACGCAGCAACGCCGCGUGAGGGAUGAAGGCCUUCGGGUUGUAAACCUCUUUUGUCAGGGACGACAAUGACGGUACCUGACGAAUAAGUCACGGCUAACUACGUGCCAGCAGCCGCGGUAAUACGUAGGUGGCGAGCGUUGUCCGGAUUUACUGGGCGUAAAGAGCGCGCAGGCGGUCGUUCAAGUCGAGUGUGAAAGCCCCCGGCUCAACUGGGGAGGGUCACUCGAUACUGAUCGACUCGAAGGCGGGAGAGGGAAGCGGAAUUCCCGGUGUAGUGGUGAAAUGCGUAGAUAUCGGGAGGAACACCAGUGGCGAAGGCGGCUUCCUGGCCCGUUCUUGACGCUGAGGCGCGAAAGCUAGGGGAGCAAACGGGAUUAGAUACCCUAGUAGUCC